UAGGGAAUCUUCCGCAAUGGACGCAAGUCUGACGGAGCAACGCCGCGUGAGUGAAGAAGGAUUUCGGUUCGUAAAACUCUGUUGUUAGAGAAGAACAGCGCAUAGAGUAACUGUUAUGCGUGUGACGGUAUCUAACCAGAAAGUCACGGCUAACUACGUGCCAGCAGCCGCGGUAAUACGUAGGUGGCAAGCGUUGUCCGGAUUUAUUGGGCGUAAAGCGAGCGCAGGCGGUCAAUUAAGUCUGAUGUGAAAGCCCCCGGCUCAACCGGGGAGGGUCAUUGGAAACUGGUUGACUUGAGUGCAGAAGAGGUGAGUGGAAUUCCAUGUGUAGCGGUGAAAUGCGUAGAUAUAUGAAGGAACACCAGUGGCGAAGGCGACUCUCUGGUCAGUAACUGACGCUGAGGCUCGAAAGCGUGGGUAGCAAACAGG
rnacentral:rRNA from 1 species